UUUCCCUCAGGGCAAUGUUGCUGAGAUCCAUCCAUGUUGUUAUUAUCCAAAUGUGUUUUGGACAAAAUGAGAGGAUCCAAGAUUGAAUUAUGCAGUAACCUGGUUCCACUCCCUCCCCCAGGGGUUUCUGGAAGAACCAUAGGCAGAUGCAGAUGAAGAAAGGGAGGCACAGGGAGCCGCCGGUCCAGGAGCCCAUCGCUAGGACGGGCCACAGCUGGGACUCUGCCACCCGUGGGGCCGCACCUGCCUCUCAGCUCUCGCAGGGGCGGGCGGCGCAGCUCUGAGAAACUCCAUGCAUGCCUGUCAGGUGCCCACUUCCACCGUGGAAGCGUCCAGCAAAAAUGAGUCAACAGCUAAGGAAAUCUUGAGAGCACAAAGGGCCUCUCAUUAA